UACGUAGGGCGCAAGCGUUAUCCGGAAUUAUUGGGCGUAAAGAGCUCGUAGGCGGUUUGUCGCGUCUGCCGUGAAAGUCCGGGGCUCAACUCCGGAUCUGCGGUGGAUACGGGCAGACUAGAGUCAGGUAGGGGAGAACGGAAUUCCUGGUGUAGCGGUGAAAUGCGCAGAUAUCAGGAGGAACACCGGUGGCGAAGGCGGUUCUCUGGGCCUGUACUGACGCUGAGGAACGAAAGCGUGGGGAGCGAACAGG
rnacentral:rRNA from 1 species